GCGGCCCGGCGCGGUGUUUACCCGCGGUGCAUGGUGGGGCGGUCUCCUUCGGCAACCCCGGCCGAACGGCCACCCAGAGGCUGUGCUGAGCUGGCGCAGCGGCAGCAGCAUGAGCCGGACCCUCGCAUCGGCCGUGCCCCUGUCGAGUCCCGACUACUACGAGAGGCUGGGCCAACUCCAGCACGGGCUGCGGGACAGUGAAAAGAAGAGAUUGGACCUGGAAAAGAAACUUUAUGAAUAUAAUCAGUCUGAUACAUGCAGCUCGAAUAUGAGACUCAAAUUAAGAAGAUGCUAUGCUCAAAAGAUAGCCUGGGACUAAAAGAGGAACUGACAGAUGAAGACAGAGAAAAGGUUGCAGUGCACGAGGGGAUUAACUCAGGAACAGCCAUGUCAAGAGGAUUGUAUCAACCAGCAACAAUCUUUAUGGGCCGCCAAAUGUCAGCCAUCUUAAGCAUGAGAGAUUUCAGUACAGAGCACAAAUCUCCCCAGCCCACAAAGAACUUUUCAAUUCCUGACCCACAUUCACACCGACAGACAGCCCAGAGCAGUAAUGUGACAGACAGCUGUGUAGUACAAACUAGUAAUGACACACAGUGCUUAAAUAAGUCUGACAACAUAGAUGGAAAGGCAUCUCUUCAGAUUGGUGAGAAAAUGCCAGUCACAGCCAGUGUAUUGUCUGAGGAGGAACAAACUCAUUGCUUGGAGAUAGGAAGUAACACACGUCAUGGCAAGAGUAAUUUAUCUGAAGGCAAAAAGUCUGCUGAACUCAAUUCCCCGUUACGGGAAAGAUUAAGUCCAGAGAACAGAACCACUGAUUUAAAGUGUGACAGUUCCAGCGGAUCAGAGGGAGAAAUACUGACACGGGAACAUAUUGAAGUUGAGGAAAAAAGAGCCAGCCCGCCAGUCUCUCCGAUACCAGUUUCAGAAUACUGUGAAUCUGAAAAUAAGUGGUCUCAAGAGAAGCAUUCUCCUUGGGAAGGUGUUUCAG
rnacentral:lncRNA from 1 species